UUGCAGUUUAUUAAAUACUGUUAUUCAUGUAAAAACAAAUUGUUCAUCCAAGCAACUAAUCCACCAUCCAUGGGUAAUAUGAUACUUGCUGGUUAAAAAAGACCUCUAUACCUGUUUGUGCUUUAGUCUUAGUGUUUAAAUAUAGCUACUUUAAAUUUCUCUGAUUUUAUAUUUCAAAUAUCAGGGACAACAGACAUGAGAGACCUUUUUUUCUUAUUUUUUAUGCAUCUUAUAAAAAGCAUAAUCUGCGGUGGCACUCCUUCCAUUUUCAAAGUGACCUCUAUGAACUUUGAAUAUCCUCUGUAUUAUUUCUAGAGCAAAUCUUUAAAAACUAUGAUAUUUCAAGAUUUUUUUUUCUUUUCAAAAAAUCUUAACUUUCAAAGCUAUAAAUCAAUUACUUGUAUUUUUUCAACCCCUGUGAGUACCUCUUCCAUCUUACUGCAUACUGAACAAGUGAAAAAAAUCUUGAAUUAAAACCAUGGGUCAAUGCACAUUGGAUGUAAGCAAAGAUAUAAUGAAAGAUAUUCUGGACAAUGGGUUCAUUAUGCUUGCUACCAUAGGUUAAAAAAUAAUCUAAAAAUAAAACAGCUGGCCUAACUCUUACAUUAACUACUGCCUGUUCUGUGUGCUGAAUUAUACAAGUUACUUAUCUUACUGUGUCAGGGAUUAAGAUUAUUUUUUUGAAUGAAUAAAAAAAAUGUACUUAAUUUUAAAGUAUAAAUUUUGUAUCUAAAAAUUGAUGUCCAUAUCUAAAUAAUUACUUAAUAUUGAUAGCAGUCAAACCAGAAACUUGCAAACCUGUACUCAGCAGUUCUAUCACAGCUUAUUCAUGUCAUGAUAAAUUCACAUAUAAAAAC
rnacentral:lncRNA from 1 species